GGAAGCGUGCCUGAAACAUAAGGACUACUUUGAUAAAGCAGACAUGGAACCAUAAACUCCCACUUCC
rnacentral:tRNA from 1 species